CAGUUCUUCACACAAAUCACCUCACUCCCAGAACUGAGUAUAAUUAUUUUUUAUUAUCAUGUAUUUUGCAAAAUUAAUUUUAGCCCAUACAUUUUUACUCAUCUUUAUUUAACUCUAGGAAUGAACACUAGCCUGUACAGAAAUCUAUUUGACCACUAGAAUCCAAUAGCUCACUCCAAAGAGUAAAGGAGGUUUCAAUUUGUCAUAUCAUUCUUACAAUCAGAGAGGAGGGACAAGCCACUGGACUGAUUUAAAUACCUUAAUUUUAGAAAUAUAUGAUUUAAAGGUACACUAUAGGCAUCCAGACCACUUCAUAUCAUUGAUGAAGAUGGGUGCAAUAAAGACUGGGUAUAUAGUCCCUGUUAUUUUAGCCCUUCAGCUACAAACAUUGCAGUUUCAGAGAAACUGCAAUGUUUAUAUUGCAAGGUUAAUGUAAACACCCACUAGAGGCGCUUCCUUUCCUUUCACAGAGUUUGACUCGGUCAAAUGAUGCUAGACAUUCUUACGCAUUGCAUGAGGAUGUCCAGUGUCUUCUAAAUCCCCAUAGGAAAGUAUUUAUUUAAUGUUUUCCUAUGUGGAAUGCCUAAUGUGCAUGUGGCAUUAGGUUUCCCCCCAUGGGCUGAUGACAAAGGAGCCUGACCCAGAUAAGUGUAAAAGGGUUAUUAACCCUUUAUUUGCCGCUGGGAAUGGAGCCAUGCUGGGAGGGGGCAGAGGGACACUAUAGAUUUAGGAAUACCAUUUUGUGUUCCUACAAUAUACAGUGUUCAUUUAAUUGUAAUUACUAUAUGUGGGCAUUAUGCUCCAUUGCAGAAAUUAUUUUUACAUUCUGUUGCCAUGUUUAGAAAGUUGUACUGCUAGUAAUAUCAUCAGUGCCCUUCAAAAUACCUAUAAGAAGGCUAUUUGAUUUUUUUUUUUUAAUCUACUUUGUAAAACCUACUGUAUAUGCAGAAAAUGUAAUGUUAAUUUUGGACCCUUUGUAAGAUAUUCCAAGAUCAAGGACACUGCAUCCUGUCUAAAGCUUUUCAUUACCCCAAUGUUUUUUUUUAUAGAGCCUUGACUUUGAGAUAACCCACUUACAAAAUUGUAGACGUUAAAAAAAAAAAAAAAAAGAUAGCUCUCCUAUUCUUCCAAGAUAACUUAAAAGCGUGUGUACGUGAUUGUUGUGUGUAUUGUUUUUGUUUUUUU